rnacentral:rRNA from 1 species
CUUAGCCGACAUAUCACCCUGUAGCCCAAGACUGGUUGCCCACUGAAGCUAAGCAGGGCUGAGCCUGGUCAGUACCUGGAUGGGAGACCUCCUGGGAAAACUAGGUUGCUGCUGGAA